AUUGAACGCUGGCGGCAUGCCUUACACAUGCAAGUCGAACGGUAACGGGCCUUCGGGUGCCGACGAGUGGCGAACGGGUGAGUAAUACAUCGGAACGUGCCCCAUCGUUGUGGAUAACGAGGCGCAAGCUUUACUAAUACCGCAUACGAUCUACGGAUUAAAGCAGGGGGCCGCAAUGCCUUGCGCGGGCGGAGCGGCCGCUGGCAGAUUGGGUCGUUGGUGGGAUAAAAGUUUACCAAGCCGACGAUUUGUAGCUGGUCUGAGAGGAUGAGCAGCCACAAUGGGACUGAGACACGGCCCAGAAUCCUAAGGGAGGCAGCAGUGGGGAAUUUUGGACAAUGGGCGCAAGCCUGAUCCAGCCAUGCCGCGUGCAGGAUGAAGGCUUUCGGGUUGUAAAAUGCUUUUGUACGGAAAGAAAAGCCUUCUUUUAAUACAGGGGGGUCAUGAAGGUACCGUAAGAAUAAGCCCCGGCUAACUACGUG
rnacentral:rRNA from 1 species